rnacentral:rRNA from 1 species
GCAAGUCGAACGGUAACAGGUCUUCGGAUGCUGACGAGUGGCGAACGGGUGAGUAAUGCAUCGGAACGUGCCCAGUCGUGGGGGAUAACGCAGCGAAAGCUGCGCUAAUACCGCAUACGAUCUAUGGAUGAAAGCGGGGGACCUUAGGGCCUCGCGCGAUUGGAGCGGCCGAUGUCAGAUUAGGUAGUUGGUGGGGUAAAGGCUCACCAAGCCAACGAUCUGUAGCUGGUCUGAGAGGACGACC